AAAUGAAAGAGUAAUAAGUUCAAGUAGAAACGAUAAAUAAGUUAGAGUGUUUGCAGCGGAAAAACGUGUGAGUUAUGCAUAUGGAGAUGCAUACUCAAGGUUUCAUUACAUAUCCAUCAAAAGAAUUCCCGCUCAACACCAAACCAUUCCAUCGCCUGCUCAACCUGCACAUUUAGAAAUACAUGCAGGGCUGAGUAUAACAAUACUCAGUGGCAUAAGCCGAAAAAUAAACAUGCAUACAUAUAUAAAUUGAACUGUCAUAAUAGUAACACACAUGAAUUUUCGUGAAAGGCAUGUGCUUACUAAAACAUUUCUUUCAUUUUCAUAAAGGUGGAUGCAUCCCAUUUUCAGUCUAUAUGAUCCAUAUCUGUCCUUUCUGUCACGCGCCGGGAAGGAGGCCUCCUUACCACGGACGCCAAGACCGGUCACAAGCGACUCGCAGUCUGCAUGAGUGUACACGUUAACCCUAGCUAGCAACCUUUGUCUAGCAUAGGAUCCCAAUUGGAUUUCCUUUAAAGUUGGCGAACCAAAUGUGAUGCCCCGCUCUUUUAAAUACAUAUUAGAUUAAAUAUGUGCAUUUGUUAAAAAAAAUUCUUUUAAUUAUUUAUUGUGACUAUUUUGUUCAGAUAAUAUUAUUUCAGCAAAAGUCCGUAUAAGAGAUACAGAGCUGCGAUUUAAUAUUCAAUCAUGAAUCAAACCAAUAAAUAAUUAAAUUAUUGGUUUAGCUACACGUUUGAAACUUUGCAUUACCAGUUGAUUGAUUCAAUAGUAUUAGAAAUUUUAGAUUUAUAACCGAUUUCAUAAAUCGUGUUAUUUAAAUCGAAUUGUUAGAAUUAUAACUUGAGAUUAUGUGAAUAAUAAUUUUAUUAUUUCACGCUAUAUGUGUUUAGUAUUAAGUCGCGAAUUAAUUCCGACUUUCACGUAUUAAAUCCCAAGUUUGAGGAUUUAAUUUAUACGACGAGUAUUUAAUUAGCGAGAACUGAAGAAUUAUUACAAAAACGAGUCCGAACUAUGAAAAAUUAGAACACGAUGUAUAGUCACAUCAAAAUCCUACACUAUUCCACCUUCCCCUCCAACUCACCAUUACUGCAGAAGUUGUUUUUCUAAAGUGCAGAUUUCUAGCCGCAGUAAAUCUUACUUUUUCAAAAUCAGCCGACUUUCACUCACCUCUCCAACUCUCUGCAGCACAUCCCACUCGACACGGAAUAAAUCUGGAGUACAAUAAUUUCAAAGGCUGCAAAUUUCCACAGUAAAACUCUCCUACUUCCUACAAAAUUUUCCAUCGUCAUAACUUUCAUUGUCGCAGAGACCCAUCUAUAAAUUCAUCCAAACACUUCAGCUCUAAAACAACAAUUUCACCUAGCAAAUUCUUAAGCGCAUAGUUUUCUUUUGACAAGAUUCGGUGUAAGGUAUAACUACUCAACUUUCUUUCUUUUCUAUACAUAGCAUUAUACCAGAAAAAUUACAACAAGAAUGAGAUCACAUAUGAUUUUGUUUACAACAUACAGAUUUCUUAUAUACAACGAACUAGUAGUAGAAAAACAAACAACAGGAGUUGUAGUUCACUUAAACAAGAAUACAGAAAACCAAAGUUUUCAUUCCAAAAAUCAAGUCUUUACACCAAUUGAGUUUUCUGUAAACUAUUUCUAAUAUACGAACCUAUCGAGUGAUAAAAUGAGAGGGAAAAUACGGUGGACUGCCGAAGCCCUGCUGUCCAUGGCGACGGCGGCUCCAGGAGAGGCGGCUUCCGGGUUCUUGCUGCCAACAGCAGCGGCUGACGGCGGCGCUGCUCCAGCGAGCUGCUGGCCGUCGAUCGCAGGCGGCUGUCAGCAGCGGCGACUCCGGGCGAGCAGCAGCAGCUCCAGGCGGCGACCUCGACUCCCGGCGAAGCAGCAGCAGCUCCAACGGUGGCUUCAUGGCAACUGCCGGUGGAGCAGCGCGGCGACGCGACGCCGGAAUUAAGAACGAUAGUGAGAGAGAGAUGAGAUGUGUGUGUGCAUUUCUUUGAAGAAAAGAGAGAAAGAGGCGUGAGACCUUAAGAAGAGAAGGGUUUUGGGCUUCAUUCUUGGGCUAAAGUUUUAAAAGAAAAUCUGAAUUGGGCCUCCAGUUUGGGCCAAGGUUUUAAAACAAAACUGACAUUGGGCUGCGUUUUUAGGCUUCAGAAUCUUGGGCUAGUUUUUUUUUAAAAAAAAUAGGCUAACAUAUUUCAUUUAUUUAAUUUAUGGUCUUUUAAUUUAUUUUAGUUAAGCCUUGAUUUAUUGUUAAUUUGACUGAGUUUUAUUAAUUACUUAAUUCCUUUAAUUAGUUAAUUAUUGAAACCCUAUUUUAUUUUAUUACUUCUAAUUAGAAUGGAUUAUUCCAUUAAAUAGACUUAUUGUCUUUAUUAUGGACUAAUCUAGAUGAGAGUUAUUUAUUGAUUUAAGGGAAUCAUUUUUUUUUCAUAUUACUUAGUCUAUUAAUUAUUUCUUUAAAUUAGAUUGUUAUUAACAUGUGCUAUUAAUCCAACUCGUUAGUCAAGUCUUUGAUUUAGUUUUGUUAUAUAAUCAUAGUCAUGAUUAUUAAUAAAACUACUCGAGUUAUUAUCUUAGAAUAAUAAUUUCUCGGUUAAUAAGGACUUCAUAGUAAACAUGCAUUCUCAUUAUUAAGGAUUCCCAAACGACUUACCUAAUAUUCCUAAUAAAAGGUCAAGUGUGGGAGUUGGUGCUAUCGGGAGAAUCACUGCCUUAGUAGCGAAACUCUACAACAAGUAGGCAUUACUUACAUAUAUAUAUAUAUAUAUAUAUAUAUGUAUAUAUAUAUAUAUCAAGUAAAGUAAAUGUUUACAUUCGAGCAAGUUAUUAUUUUCAGAAGUAUUUUGAAUUGAAAUUAUUUCAACUAUUGUCUUGCCAUAAAUGUUUUAGAUUUUAGUAUGAUAUCUAUCUGCUUGUUUAUAAUCGAAUUCGGAUCCUGAGCGGAUAGCUAUCCUGCCGGGAUUAGUGUACACAGUGAUUGUGAGUCAUCGAGCGGGUUGGCCGGUCAAGUGUCCGUGAGAGGUGGCCACCUCUCCGGCACACAGCUUCAGAUAUGAUAGAAUACAAAAGAACUUAGACUGAUCAGUCGAACUUUAGAAUCACAAACGAAUUUAGUAUGCUCGGGCCUUUAUAAGUAAAAAUCCCUGGCUAUACUUUUGCAAUGGCAUGACAAUUUACAGUUUAUUAAUAUGUAUAUGAUUUUCGGCAUAUGUCUACUGAGUACUUUGUACUCAGCCCUGCAUGUAUUUCUAAAUGUGCAGGUUGAGCAGUGAUGGGUGAUGAUGAUGGGGUGUCGUGUGGAGCUUUGUCAUAUUUACUAAAUAAACUCUUGGCGAUACAUGUCUUCAUACAUGUAUCACGUUCUCAUUUCCGCUGCGAACACUCAGUUAUGAUGCAGUUUAUCCUAUUAUGUUGGAUUGUCAAAUCAAGUUAUUGUAUAAACACUUAAAUCGGAUACUCAUGACCGAUUACUCGCUAUUAUCUAUAUAUGUGUGACUUAUUCUCAUAUUAUAUCUUAAUCUUAAUUUAAUUCCUUUAUAAUUAUUUAUCACCCCUUUUUGUCCCCUCUCCUAAUUUCCCUUCCCUCGUCACGGUUUCCCGGCUUACCUAUCCUUAGUUAAGUUCGGUCGUGACACCAACACAGAUAGGAUACAUAUAAAAAUAUAAACAUUUUGGCAGUCAAUCAUUUCAUAAACGUUUCGUUUUCAUAAACAUUUUCAUUUUCAUAAAGGGCAUUGAACAUAUAAGCAUUUCAUAAAAGCUGAAUAAACAGUUAAAACAUAUCAUGCACAUAUAUUCGUAUAAGAGGCCUACGACACGCAGAGGAUCUCUAUAUACGUAGAGUAAAGUAAUGCCCACCUUAAACGUUCUUAAAGCUGGCGUGGAGUCGCUUCUUCUUCGGCUUCACUUUCUGUCGCUCGGACCUU
rnacentral:lncRNA from 1 species